UGGCUCAGAUUGAACGCUGGCGGCAGGGCUUUAACACAUGCAAGUCGAGCGGGCGAGGUUGCUUCGGUAACUGAGCUAGCGGCGGACGGGUGAGUAAUGCUUAGGAAUCUGCCUAUUAGUGGGGGACAACAUUCCGAAAGGAAUGCUAAUACCGCAUACGCCCUACGGGGGAAAGCAGGGGAUCUUCGGACCUUGCGCUAAUAGAGUGAGCCUAAGUCAGAUUAGCUAGUUGGUGGGGUAAAGGCCUACCAAGGCGACGAUCUGUAGCGGGGUCUGAGACGGAUGAUCCGCCACACUGGGACUGAGACACGGACCAGACUCCUACGGGAGGCAGCAGUGAGGAAUAUUGGACAAUGGGCGCAAGCCUGAUCCAGCCAUGCCGCGUGCAGGAAGACGGUCCUAUGGAUUGUAAACUGCUUUUAUACAGGAAGAAACCACACCCUCGUGAGGGUACUUGACGGUACUGUAAGAAUAAGGAUCGGCUAACUCCGUG
rnacentral:rRNA from 1 species